CAUGUUGCUAAAAGAUGUGCAGUGCAAUUUCUCUGUAAUCCUAAACGGCACGACAACUAGGAGUUUGAGACAAUUAAAUACGGAGGGAAAUGAGAUUGGAAGAAUGAAUAAACAAUAUAAGGAAGUAAAGAUUAUCUAAGCCUCCACUUUGAAAAAGCGUGUAAAGGAAGUGGCUAAUUUUGCAGUGAAAUUGCGAAGGCAGUGACUAAUUGACUAGUGAAAGGAAAAGAAGGGAUCAAAUAGGGCAAAAAAUAAAAAAUAAAAACGAAUGCAACAGCCACCAGCAAGGAAAGAAGAAGUAAAUAGUGGGAAAAGGAAAACAAAAAAGAUGCACAAGCCACGAAUCGAACCCGGGUCUGUACCUAGGGUACCAUUCUACCACUGGUGCUAACAGCUUUGAAAUCCGUUGAAUAAUUGAACAAAUAAUAACACCAGGAAUCUUCUUUUCAAAACUCCAGACAUUUGUUAGGAUUCGGUGCUUUUAUAACUCAAAAAUGCAGUUAGAACAAACCAAAGAAAUGCUUCAUUUUUUAAACAAAUUGUUCAUAUUCAUGGUAUGAAGGUCCAUGUUGGAAAGUCGACCUUUUCCCAGCUUUGUACCCAAUCAAGGUUCCAAAAAUAGUUGCUUGCGAAUAUUAAAUGUGUUGCAUCAAUUAACAGUAAAUUUGAUCACAAAAUAUUCAUGCUAUUCUUUCCCUGUUUUCUCGUAUGAAC
rnacentral:lncRNA from 1 species